rnacentral:antisense_RNA from 1 species
AGGGGCCACUACCUCCACAAUAUCGGAUAGCAUGAUUAAAUGCGUGGCUGAAAGAGAUUUCAUGCUUCUAAUUUGUAUCUGAGUCAUGCCUACUCAUGCCUUGCUGGCUUGCAUGUUUUGAUAGUUUGAUUUUAGGAGACAGUCUGUGCUCUCAAACACUUUUCAUAUUAUACCCUUUAGUAUAAUACGAUAAUUAGAUAUACUUUUUGGCUGUAAAUGCUUCCUAAGCCUGGAUCAUUAAAAUUAUGCUAAACCUUAUAAACUUCUUAUUUCUAGAAGUGAAAUAAUAAUUCAACUUUAAAAAAAUCUGGCCUAAUGACAACUUCAGUGGAUGGAUCACAUUACCUUGAUGCAUUAUUAUCAAUGCUUACAAAAGUUGUUCAUAUCAAAGGCACUCACCCACUGAUGUGCCAGGUCCAGAAUGCACCGCCUUGUCACUCCUGGAAG